ACGCACGCUGGCGGCGUGCCUAAUACAUGCAAGUCGAACGAGAGCGACCGGUGCUUGCACUGGUCAAUCUAGUGGCGAACGGGUGAGUAACACGUGGGUAACCUGCCCAUCAGAGGGGGAUAACAUCCGGAAACGGAUGCUAAAACCGCAUAGGUCUUCGAGCCGCAUGGCUUGAAGAGGAAAAGAGGCGCAAGCUUCUGCUGAUGGAUGGACCCGCGGUGCAUUAGCUAGUUGGUGAGGUAACGGCUCACCAAGGCCGUGAUGCAUAGCCGACCUGAGAGGGUGAUCGGCCACAUUGGGACUGAGACACGGCCCAAACUCCUACGGGAGGCAGCAGUAGGGAAUCUUCCGCAAUGGACGCAAGUCUGACGGAGCAACGCCGCGUGAGUGAAGAAGGUUUUCGGAUCGUAAAACUCUGUUGUUAGAGAAGAACAAGUGCUAGAGUAACUGUUAGCGCCUUGACGGUAUCUAACCAGAAAGCCACGGCUAACUACGUG
rnacentral:rRNA from 1 species